rnacentral:rRNA from 2 species
CUGGCUCAGGACGAACGCUGGCGGCGUGCCUAAUACAUGCAAGUCGAACGAACUCUGGUAUUGAUUGGUGCUUGCAUCAUGAUUUACAUUUGAGUGAGUGGCGAACUGGUGAGUAACACGUGGGAAACCUGCCCAGAAGCGGGGGAUAACACCUGGAAACAGAUGCUAAUACCGCAUAACAACUUGGACCGCAUGGUCCGAGUUUGAAAGAUGGCUUCGGCUAUCACUUUUGGAUGGUCCCGCGGCGUAUUAGCUAGAUGGUGGGGUAACGGCUCACCAUGGCAAUGAUACGUAGCCGACCUGAGAGGGUAAUCGGCCACAUUGGGACUGAGACACGGCCCAAACUCCUACGGGAGGCAGCAGUAGGGAAUCUUCCACAAUGGACGAAAGUCUGAUGGAGCAACGCCGCGUGAGUGAAGAAGGGUUUCGGCUCGUAAAACUCUGUUGUUAAAGAAGAACAUAUCUGAGAGUAACUGUUCAGGUAUUGACGGUAUUUAACCAGAAAGCCACGGCUAACUACGUGCCAGCAGCCGCGGUAAUACGUAGGUGGCAAGCGUUGUCCGGAUUUAUUGGGCGUAAAGCGAGCGCAGGCGGUUUUUUAAGUCUGAUGUGAAAGCCUUCGGCUCAACCGAAGAAGUGCAUCGGAAACUGGGAAACUUGAGUGCAGAAGAGGACAGUGGAACUCCAUGUGUAGCGGUGAAAUGCGUAGAUAUAUGGAAGAACACCAGUGGCGAAGGCGGCUGUCUGGUCUGUAACUGACGCUGAGGCUCGAAAGUAUGGGUAGCAAACAGGAUUAGAUACCCUGGUAGUCCAUACCGUAAACGAUGAAUGCUAAGUGUUGGAGGGUUUCCGCCCUUCAGUGCUGC